rnacentral:tRNA from 1 species
GGGGGGCAAGGGGUUGGUGCCCCUCCUGGUCUGCAAAACCAGAGGUAUGGCCGGAAAAAGGCUAUAGUGGGUUCGAUUCCCACUGCCCCUCUCCA